rnacentral:lncRNA from 1 species
CGGUGGCGAGGAUUGCAUCGACAACAAAGAAAGGAGAGAGAGGUGACCUAGAGACUGCAGUUCAAGACUCGAUAGCGUAGGAUAGGAAUUUCUGGUGAAAUAAUGUUCUCUAGUAUUAUAUAUACAUAGGUAAUUAAAGAAAUCUAUGCAUGUGCAGUGUAAGUGUUCAAAGUAGCAACAUUAUCUUUACUAGCUACCUUUGCUGUAGUUUCGCCUUUUACGAUGAGAAAACAUUGAAUAGAG